GACGAACGCUGGCGGCGUGCUUAACACAUGCAAGUCGAACGGAAAGGCCCUGCUUUUGUGGGGUGCUCGAGUGGCGAACGGGUGAGUAACAUGUGAGUAACCUGCCCUUGACUUUGGGAUAACUUCAGGAAACUGGGGCUAAUACCGGAUAGGAGCUCCUGCUGCAUGGUGGGGGUUGGAAAGUUUCGGCGGUUGGGGAUGGACUCGCGGCUUAUCAGCUUGUUGGUGGGGUAGUGGUUUACCAAGGCUUUGACGGGUAGCCGGCCUGGGAGGGUGACCGGCCACAUUGGGACUGCGAUACGGCCCAGACUCCAACGGGAGGCAGCAGUGGGGAAUAUUGCACAAUGGGCGGAAGCCUGAUGCAGCAACGCCGCGUUCGGGAUGACGGCCUUCGGGUUGUAAACCGCUUUCGCCUGUGACGAAGCGUGAGUGACGGUAAUGGGUAAAGAAGCACCGGCUAACUACGUG
rnacentral:rRNA from 1 species